AAUGUUUAAAGGGCCGCGGUAUUUUGACCGUGCGAAGGUAGCAUAAUCAUUAGUUUUUUAAUUGAAGGCUGGUAUGAAUGGUCGGACAAGAAAUAAGCUGUCUUUAUAGAAAUUAUUGAAUUUAACAUUUAAGUAAAAAGGCUUAAAUAAAUUAAGGGGACGAUAAGACCCUAUAAAGCAUUGUGUUGGGGCGACAAAAGUAAAUUAGUAUCUGCUUUAUUUUUUUAACAAUGAUUUUUGAAUUGAUCCUAAUUAUAGAUUAUAAGUUUAAGUUACUUUAGGGAUAACAGCGUAAUUUUUCCUGAGAGCUCAUAUCGAAGGAGAAGUUUGCGACCUCGAUGUUGAAUUAAAUUAUCUCUCUUAUGUGCAGCGAGCUAAGAUAGAUGGUCUGUUCGACCUUUAAAGAUUU
rnacentral:rRNA from 1 species